rnacentral:sRNA from 1 species
AGAGAGAAGAGAGAGAGA